rnacentral:lncRNA from 1 species
AUGGCAGCCUCAAAAUACAAGCGCUCCAUGAAGACUAACGUCAACUCCAAGCUUGUUGUGGCGCUCAACAAUCUGAGGAAGGAGAAAACCUAUCUGAAGAAGACCCUGACUGAGCUGUGUCGACAACAUGCAGAACAUAACAAGCUAGUAGAGACAUGCCUCACUCUUGUAAGGGUAAUACUUGACAUUCAGGAGGAGCCUGGUAAAAAGGAAGUGAAGCCAUGUUAUGGAAUGAACAUGAGAAGGAAGACAGGAGGAGGUGCCCCAGCCUUGGAAGAGAACAAGCAGUGGCUGGAAUAUGACCAGCAGAGAGAGGCCUGUGUAAGGGGGAUGAUGAGCAGAAUGUUAUGGCUGGAGAACCAACUCAACAAAGCCAAUCAGGCCCGGUCACAGCAGCACAAUGAGGACUAUUCAGAUGAAGACGGAGCAAGCUGUCCACAGGCGAACUGUCGAAGACGCAUGCAGAUAAAUUAUGACACCAUAGACAAUCUCAUGGACGAGCUCAUCAAUAUCCGUGACCAUGUGAAAGCGAUCUAUGACAGGUUGUUCAGUCUUGAGGACAGUGGGGAGAAUGAGCACAAGGAGCUUCCACAGACCGAAAGAGAAGAUCAUCAUCAGUCAGAGGAUGAAGAGCAACAACUGAGUGAGGAUACUAAAGACCUCCAAAGCAGACUGGAUAAGGAGCGACGAAGGUCAUAUACCUUUGAGCUGCAGGCAAAUGUCUUGCAGAGGUUUAUAUUAAAUCGUCACCAUGCAGACCAGGA